rnacentral:rRNA from 1 species
UACGUAGGGUGCGAGCGUUGUCCGGAAUUACUGGGCGUAAAGAGCUCGUAGGUGGUUUGUCGCGUUGUCCGUGAAAUUCUCUGGCUUAACUGGGGGCGUGCGGGCGAUACGGGCAGACUGGAGUACUGCAGGGGAGACUGGAAUUCCUGGUGUAGCGGUGGAAUGCGCAGAUAUCAGGAGGAACACCGGUGGCGAAGGCGGGUCUCUGGGCAGUAACUGACGCUGAGGAGCGAAAGCGUGGGGAGCGAACAGG